AGACACGGCCCAGACUCCUACGGGAGGCAGCAGUGGGGAAUAUUGCACAAUGGGGGAAACCCUGAUGCAGCGACGCAGCGUGCGGGAUGACGGCCUUCGGGUUGUAAACCGCUUUCAGCAGGGAAGAAGCGAAAGUGACGGUACCUGCAGAAGAAGUACCGGCUAACUACGUGCCAGCAGCCGCGGUAAUACGUAGGGUACGAGCGUUGUCCGGAAUUAUUGGGCGUAAAGAGCUCGUAGGUGGUUGGUCACGUCUGCUGUGGAAACGCAACGCUUAACGUUGCGCGUGCAGUGGGUACGGGCUGACUAGAGUGCAGUAGGGGAGUCUGGAAUUCCUGGUGUAGCGGUGAAAUGCGCAGAUAUCAGGAGGAACACCGGUGGCGAAGGCGGGACUCUGGGCUGUAACUGACACUGAGGAGCGAAAGCAUGGGGAGCGAACAGGAUUAGAUACCCUGGUAGUCCAUGCCGUAAAC
rnacentral:rRNA from 1 species